CUACUUUAGGCCCAAAUUUGAUACGACCCAUUAAUCAAUGGACCUAUGAGAUUGAUUUUGGACUUCAAUUAAUGGGCUCCGGCCCAUCUGUCAUUCCAUUUCCUCAUUCCUCUACUGUUUUCGAUUGAAGAAAUGAAGCUGAUAUCCAUUUCCGAUCCGACGCCUUAUUCGGGUUGGUUCUUCGUCGUGAUCGGCUCCGUGUCCUUCCUCGGCUUCCUCUUUGCCACAAUCAUAUCCAAACUUCUUCCUCCCUUCGAUAAUCCAAUUCUAUCGGCCAUCCAAAACGACAGGUAUUACUGCUUUUUGGUGCCCUUGACACUUCCUAUGAUUGUAGUAGCUGUAUAUUUCCAUUGGCUUAGCAUGAAAUUGUUCAAACAUGCUUGACAAACUAGGCGAGCAUCUAAUAUCAACAUAUGGAGCAGAGAAUCAAAGGAAACCCAGUCAUGUUGCAGUAAGUGGGUAAAUUUUUUAACAUCAUUAGUUGAAGUUAUUGUAAAUAAGACUUACGAAAACUAGAGUCGGAAUAGAUACAAGUAUUUGGUUCCUGAAUAUUAUUUCUACUUUUGGGUAUGCUACAACCUUAUGUUUUUGACUGACUAAACCAUUUCUGAUGACACAUGUAAAAUCCAAAUCUUUUGAGAUAAAACUUUCUUAUUUUUGGGGGAUUAUGCUAUGAAUAUGUAAACUAAACAAUCCCUAUUCUCUUCAAUUUGAACUUCCCAUUGGAUUUGAAGUAAUCAAUUGCUUAUCACUCGA